AUGGGGCAUUGGGAUGUGUUCGACGCAUUGUGGCGCAUGGGGGGCAUCGAAGUGCUAGUGUUUAUGGGUGACGGGACCUGCCACUAGUGCUCGAAGAGAUCGUCGUUGCCAUUUAUUGUAGGGGGUUUAACGAAGAAAUGUGAAGAACUCACCUACAAAGGGAACGUUGGAUCACUUCGUGUUACCGGAUUUCCUCGUCCACGUCCUCCACCGCUCCUCCUAAGGCCCCAAAUUGUUUAAAAACAAAGAGGAAUUGGAGACCGAGCUUUGUGGAGGAGUUGGAUCACUUCGUGUUAUUGCUUAAAAAAAAAUUUUAUUAUUGUUUUCCUUUAUUUUUGUAAUUUAAUUUAAUUCUGUAAUUUAAUUUGUUUGUUUAGUAAAUAAAAAGUUGUACGUUAUUUUUU
rnacentral:lncRNA from 1 species